rnacentral:lncRNA from 1 species
AAUUGCGAACCGUGUCUCGGGAGCGUUAGAGAUGGAGACUAACGUCUUCCAAGGGAGAUUGCGUCUCUACUUUCACCCUGGUACUGAGAGGUUGAGCACAAAAUUGGAACGCAGUCGCGGGGUAUAUCCCCCUGAAAACCGUACGUUGCCAAAUAAUGAUUUCUUUGGAUUAGAGAACUACAACUCCCCUGGGUCCUGAGCCGGUAUUUCCCUUUUGCGGCUGCACCGUAGUUAAAAACAAAGCUAAGUGUUCUGGGACGUAUAGUUCUAGCGUUCCUUGGGUCCCGCUGGCGAGCGUGGGCUUUCUGCAGCUCGCAACCGGCCUCAUGCUUUGCGGACGGUUCACUGCGCUUGGAAAGGGAUUGGCCUGGGGUACAUCAUCUAAAGAUCCUAGGAUUGCUGCAGGUCAGCAGUCUCCACUGGAAAAAAAGAUCUUGCAUGUAUUUCAAGUCCUCUGAUGAAUCAUGUGAUCUACUAGACCCUGAAGAUACAGUGAAGAGCAAAAGAACACGGAUGAAAUGAGAAACAAAAACGAUGGAGAAAACCAAAAAAGGGGACACAUGGGAUCCAGGCAAUAGGAGAGCCAGCAUAAGAGAGAGGCAGAGGGAUGCCCAGGAUGAGGUGAAGACGAUCUUGGAAAUCAGCCCAGAUGUGCAUGCACCAGUCCACGUGUGGCAGGACCAAGGGAAGUGUCUUCACAAAGAUGAGGGGUACACUCCUUUGGAAACCAGAACCUCGUAUCCUGCACAGCCCAGUGUUGGGAGAUAAAAUAUGCGAAAUACCCCAUUGAGUGAAUCUAAGAGAUUGGACAUGGAGCCAAACCUGCUUCCGCCUUUUGAUUUCUGGACACACAUGUUCUUCCUAUUGAGAACACAGAACUCUAGAGACGUCUCUGAUUCAAACAAUGAACUGUGUCCUGAAAGAUGGCACCCACCCCUCAGAGUGCUUCCUCCAGGCUGGCACUGAGUUGUGCCUGUAGAAGACCUGUCCAGCCUUCCUUGUGGCUGGCAGCUCCUGGGUAGUGCAGAUGGUGAUAGGAUUAGUGGAACCCACAGCCGUGGAAACACUGAAACUUUCCCUGCAAAGUGGGUCCUUCAGGCAGAUAAUGGGCUAGGAGCACUGCCUAGCCUGCAGACCAGGAAUGUCAACAGCACCCAGAGAGUGGUGCUGGCUGUGUCUGAGAGCAGGACAGGAAAACCCACCCAUAGAAUCGGUACCUAACCCUGUGAAGAUGAAACUCUGGCCCUUCCAGGUUGGAAGUAGCUAAAUGUAGUCAACUUGUUACUUAGUGGGUAGUCAUGUAAAGAAAUAGUGCCCCACUAGGGCACAUCAUGGGCCUCAAUUGCUGAUGAGUUGGACAUUCAGAGGUGGCAGCAGCUGGAUCUGCCUUGGUGUGGGGAAGUCAGUGCUGCUGGCCCCUUACGGAGCCUCAUGCCUGCCACUGUGGUUGCUCCAUUCAUGCACUCAUCCUACCAGGCCUGGGCUGACCCAUGGUGAAAGCUGGCUAACUGCCAUUUGUCUGUUUGGUAGUUCAGUGCCACUUCAGACUUGGGUGUUUUCUGUGGGUGUCAGCAAGGGAUUCAAGCUCAACCCAGGUGGACUGUUUUCACCUGAUGAUGAAUGCUGUUGGGCCUGUACCAUCUAUGACUUUGUGGGUCACACAGGCACUUGGAACCCCGUAGUUGCUUGGUAUCCCGUGGUCAAACAUUCUAUUGAAUCAGGACAAGGAACACUAAAAGUUGCUUCUAACAGGGGGCAUGUGUCUCUGCUGUGGAUGACAUGAUCUUACUCCAGAAUCCCAGGCCCUCCACUGUGACUCUCCCACUGGUGCUUGGUUCAGCUCCAUCCUGUGUCUUUCCCCACCACUGGCACCACCAGCCCCAGGGGUCUGAGGGAUGGUGGCUGCUUGUACCAUGGCCUGGAUCUGCUGCAGGGUCCUUUCCUGUGUAGGCCCCACUUGAAGCUGGCAUCCUCCUAUGUCACCUAGACUGUGGGCCAAAGCAAAAUGUCUAGAUGUGGAAUGUGGUGUUGUUAUAAUUCAAAGAGGCUCACCAAGCAGUGUGCUUCCUUGCUUCUGGUGAGGAUGCAAGAUGCAACAGUUUUUCUUUUACCUUGGAGGGGACACACCUGCAUUCCCCUAAACACUUGGCACUUGUUCACCCAUAAAACUUCACUUCAGUGCCCACCUUUGAAGCUGUAUAAGGUUUAUCUUCACCUUGUGGGGUGCGUGUGUUUUGCAAAGGACUACAGUGCACUUUCUUCCUGCUGCUCAUCUACUCCAGUCAACAUGAAGUUGUCAAUGAAAUGUGCUGAUUUAAUAUCCUAAAGGAUAUGCAGUAUGUCCAGUACAGUCUUAAGCCUAUACUAUAGAGGGCACAGGUGUUACAAUAGCCCUGAGGCAAACAAUAAAUAAAUGUGUCGUUGAUUCCA